AAUGUUGCUUUGUUUUUUUUUCCCUCCUCUCUUCUGCUUUGCAUUUUUCUUCUCUACCAGCCAUUUGGCUAACUCCACCAAGUCAAAAGUGCAACUUCUUUUUAAAGAGCUAUUAGGGUGCAGUUUGCCGUGAUUUCUGAGCUGGAGCGCCUCAGCUGGGACAGUGAGAUCUACCGUGGAGAAUCUGCAUCCAUUCCUGACGUCUGGAGCCUCACUAGGGCCAGAACAGACAUAUGGUACCUUAAACUUACAUCAAACUCUGCUUCAGAUGGGAAGCCGCAUUCUGGUCUUGCCUGAUCAUUGAUAAGGGCCUGCGCAGAGACCUGGACCAGCUCAAAAGGUUGAUAACUGACUUAAUAUAAGCACAAGAAUAACUACGCAUUUAUGUAAAGUCUUUCUCAAAGGAGCAUUCAGCACUCUGCAGAUAAUGGACUUAUUUAUCCUUAGAGCACUUCUCUGAGGCAGUUAAAGGACAGGGGUGACCAGACUCAUGUAAUAAAUAAUGUCAAGGACAGCAUGAGGCAAAACUAGCCUAUACGUCUGAGGCCUUGGGGGAGAUGGGAUGGGCCCAAGGUCACCCAGGGAGUUGGGAACAGGAUGAGUGUCCAUGCUCCAAUGAGGUGACUCAUUCUUUCCAGCACCUCUGCUCCUGGGACCUGACUACAUGUCCCCCGGGCUGGCUCCUGCUUACACACACAUAUCCCAAGGCAUAUUCUAUGGGAUAUCAGAGGUGCUCUUAUCAGUGCAUGGCUUAGUAAGC